rnacentral:lncRNA from 1 species
GCAGAACAUUACUUUUUCAUAGCACCAAAGAUUGGUUUUAAAAUAGGAUUAUGCCUGGAGCCAAGUCAUCCAAACCAAUAAAACUAAACUUUUGGAGAAGUAAAUCCAUUCUUCCUAUUUUAUUUGAAUAUAAAAGAGGAAGCUGGAGCUGUUGCAGAUAUCUUGACACCAUGAAAUAUAAGCUUCUCUGAGGAUAGAGCCAACAUGGAAAGGAUGAGGCAAAGAGUUGGUAAGAGAAGUAAGUCUUGAUACUUUUCAAGGCCAGAAUCAAGCCUUAAGCUAACUCUGGACUUUGUAGUUACCUGAGCCUGCUUGGGUUGUUACAUAUGACCAAGAUGAUUUGGAACAUAAAUGAGUCAGGGAAAGUUUUCUUAGGGAAGGGACAUAUAACAUGAGACUUGAGAGAUGAGUAGGAAUUAAGAUGACUAGAAAAGUGGUGGCAGAGGAAAGAGUAUGUAUGUGCCCAAGGGCCUCAAGCAGUGGAAGCAGCAGAAUGUGGGAGGAACAAAGGGAGGCCUGAGUGCAGAGAGGACAGAUCACUAAAAGAAAAUGAGACCCUUUCCAUACAGAAGGUUUCAAAUGUGUUAAAAAUAAAGAGAACAGAAUAAUGAGUACCCUUGUACCCAUCAUCCAGCAUCAACUGUUAUUAACUAGGCCAUGCUGUUUCAUUUGUACCUGAAUCUCUUGUUCCUGCCUGACUUCUGGCUCGGUUAUUUUUAAUCACAAUGGAAUACAUUUUUAAAAAGGUGACACUUAGGCUAAAAUAUAAAUAUUUGAGCAUAAGGAAGCAGCCAUUUGAAGAUUUUUAGGAAGAACAUUCCACACAGAAGGAGAAAUAAAUAUAAAACCCCUGAGAUUGAUACAGACUAGAGUUUCUUGAGAGACACAAAAGUAGACCAGAGUGGCCCCAGUGGAAAUAAAGAAGGAGAAUGUGAUAAGAG